rnacentral:rRNA from 1 species
CCUACGGGUGGCAGCAGUGAGGAAUAUUGGUCAAUGGACGCAAGUCUGAACCAGCCAUGCCGCGUGCAGGAAGACGGCUCUAUGAGUUGUAAACUGCUUUUGUACGAGGGUAAACGCAGAUACGCGUAUCUGGCUGAAAGUAUCGUACGAAUAAGGAUCGGCUAACUCCGUGCCAGCCGCCGCGGUAAUAAGGAGGAUUCAAGCGUUAUCCGGAUUUUUUGGGGUUAAAGGGUGCGUAGGCGGUCGGAUAAGUUAGAGGUGAAAUCUUGAGGCUGAAAUUCGGAAUUGCCUCUGAUACUGGCAGGCUAGAGAGUAGUUGCGGUAGGCGGAAUGUAUGGUGUAGCGGUGAAAUGCUUAGAGAUCAUACAGAACACCGAUUGCGAAGGCAGCUUACCAAGCUACUUCUGACGUUGAGGCACGAAAGCGUGGGGAGCAAACAGGAUUAGAUACCCGUGUAGUC